ACGUACACUCCUACGGGAGGCAGCAGUAGGGAAUCUUCGGCAAUGGGGGCAACCCUGACCGAGCAACGCCGCGUGAGUGAAGAAGGUUUUCGGAUCGUAAAGCUCUGUUGUAAGUCAAGAACGAGUGUGAGAGUGGAAAGUUCACACUGUGACGGUAGCUUACCAGAAAGGGACGGCUAACUACGUGCCAGCAGCCGCGGUAAUACGUAGGUCCCGAGCGUUGUCCGGAUUUAUUGGGCGUAAAGCGAGCGCAGGCGGUUUGAUAAGUCUGAAGUUAAAGGCUGUGGCUCAACCAUAGUUCGCUUUGGAAACUGUCAAACUUGAGUGCAGAAGGGGAGAGUGGAAUUCCAUGUGUAGCGGUGAAAUGCGUAGAUAUAUGGAGGAACACCGGUGGCGAAAGCGGCUCUCUGGUCUGUAACUGACGCUGAGGCUCGAAAGCGUGGGGAGCGAACAGGAUUAGAUACCCCGGUAGUCCCAUGAU
rnacentral:rRNA from 1 species